rnacentral:rRNA from 1 species
UACGUAGGGUGCGAGCGUUGUCCGGAAUUAUUGGGCGUAAAGGGCUCGUAGGCGGUCUGUCACGUCGGGAGUGAAAACACGGGGCUUAACCCCGUGCCUGCUUCCGAUACGGGCAGACUAGAGGUAUGCAGGGGAGAACGGAAUUCCUGGUGUAGCGGUGGAAUGCGCAGAUAUCAGGAGGAACACCGAUGGCGAAGGCAGGUCUCUGGGCCACUACUGACGCUGAGAAGCGAAAGCAUGGGGAGCGAACAGG